UACGUAGGGUGCGAGCGUUAAUCGGAAUUACUGGGCGUAAAGCGUGCGCAGGCGGUUAUGUAAGACAGGGGUGAAAUCCCCGGGCUUAACCUGGGAACUGCAUUUGUGACUGCAUAGCUAGAGUACGGUAGAGGGGGAUGGAAUUCCGCGUGUAGCAGUGAAAUGCGUAGAUAUGCGGAGGAACACCGAUGGCGAAGGCAAUCCCCUGGACCCGUACUGACGCUCAUGCACGAAAGCGUGGGGAGCAAACAGG
rnacentral:rRNA from 1 species